rnacentral:rRNA from 1 species
GAUGAACGCUAGCGGCAGGCUUAAUACAUGCAAGUCGAGGGACAGCACAGGUAGCAAUACUGGGUGGUAACCGGCAAACGGGUGCGGAGCACGUACACAACCUUCCUUUAAGUGGGGGAUAGCCCAGAGAAAUUUGGAUUAAUACACUGUAAUAUAGUUGAAUGGCAUCCUUUGCUUAUUAUAGCUACGGCGCUUAAUGAUGGGUGUGCGGCUGAUUAGAUCGUUGGCGGGGUAACGGCCCACCAAGUCGACGAUCAGUAGCUGAUGUGAGGGCAUGAGCAGCCACACGGACACUGAGACACGGGCCCGACUCCUGCGGGAGGCAGCAGUAAGGAAUAUUGGUCAAUGGACGCAAGUCUGAACCAGCCAUGGCGCGUGAAUGAUUAAGGUCCUCUGGAUUGUAAACUUCCUUUAUCUGGGACGAAAAAGGGCCUUUCUAGGUCAACUGACGGUACCAGAUGAAUAAGCACCGGCUAACUCCGUGCCAGCAGCCGCAGUAAAAC